rnacentral:lncRNA from 1 species
GGCACCCUCCCUCCCAGCACUAUUUGGGUAUGGAGCCCUGUGGCAGAGGAUCUGCUACAAGUGGAAGGCCGAAGAUAGUUUUUCUAAAUUUUGUAAGUUAUACCACCAUAUAGCUUUGUAAAAAAUCGUGUGCUUUGUCUAUGAAUAGGUAAAAAUGUUUAUAAUCUGACUGGCCUUGUCAUUUUACUGUAUUUUUGUUCAGAUAUUAGUGAAAAUCAUUUGGGGUCCAGAAUCGGAAACCCCUUGUUCUAAAACUCAUUUCAUUCCUGGUUAGCUUUUAUCAUCUUAAUCAGCCACUUAAUCUUACUAGUUUUGCUUGCUUAACCACUAUUAUAAUAAUACUAAUAUUCAAAUAAUUAAGUUUAUACAACAGGCUGUGUGUGAUAAUAACAUGGGAAAACAGUAAUAAGUUUAUAGUAGUAUUAUCUUUUCACCUGUUCCUAGCAUGGAUGAUCAACAAAGAGAAAGGGGCAUACAUUCCGGUAAUGCAUUCACCAAGUUAAAUGGCUGUGUCAGUUUAAAUUAUGUAAAGUUUCUUUCUAAAACUUAGACUGGAAAAUCUCAGCAGUCUUCCAGUGCUGAGAGUGUGAAUGAGAGAUUUUAUCCAGGUUAUGCUAAGCUACAUUGACUUUGCUCAUAUAACACUGAGCAGUCUAGACUGUCUUCAUCUCAAAUGGUAAGUGUCCCUAUGUAUCUUUUUGUUACCCCCUUAUUUUGUUAGUAGUGGGGAAGAAACUCUGUUGGCCUUAGGUUUGUUAUUGGAUUACUGACGAAAGUACGUGGUGUGCCAAGGCACUGCCAGCUAUGGACUCUAGGUAAAUGUCGAGUCAUGGAUGCCAUGGCAGCCCGUAGCCCACAGCCCACAGUGAUCCUGGAGGCAGGAAUUUCUGACUGAGUGGGAACCAGCUUGGAGUCCAGUGUGCGCGCGUCAUGGUGCUCUUAUGUCUGGAUGCCUCACACAGUAGCAGUGCUCAUGUCCCUGUUUCCUGUCGUAUUGGAACAUUGACAGUGCCAGCACUUGACUGCUUCAUAGAUGUAGCUUGAGCCCAACCAUACACCUCUCAUGUUUGAAAUAACACAAAGAAUAUUGUUUCCAAGACAACUUUCCUGAAACGUCAGCUUUCUCUGGUUGUUAAACUCACACAAGAAGCAUUGUUCCUUUCAUUCAUGCUGAGUAAUUUGUAUAACACAGUAGUUUGUUUGGAAACAUGCCUGUUGUUCUUUAAAAUAUGCUUAAUGCUAGAUUAGAGAACAAAGUUUGUUCUCCCUGUUUAUACAAGCUCAUUUCUAAGGCAUUAAAAUAAAGAGCUUGGGCCUGUAUGGUAUUUAAAAACCCUUCACAUGAUGUUUUUAAAACAGAUCAAUUUCAGCAUUAAAAUGCUAGGAAUCCAGCCAAGGAGCAUUCAGCAUGGAUUGUAUAGCUGUAAUGAUAAUGUAUUAUAACUAUCUUCUUUGAAAGUGAUUGUAGCAGCACAGUUGAACCUGGUGAAUUACAUAAUUCAAGAGUAUUUGCCAGAAUACUGUUGGAGAGGGAUUUUUAAGCCUUUCCUGAACCAAAGCAAAAUGAAAGAUGGAUUUUAUUAUGCAGUACUUAAAUCAGUCAUCACAGAAUAUCUGAAGAUAACUCAUUUAAAUUGAACAGAAGGUCAUAUGUCUGAAUGUCAGUUAUUACACCCAAUUGCUGCUUUGCCAGAACAUUGGGAUGUAAGAGAACAUGUUUUGUUUUGUUUUGUUUUUAGCUACCUAAAAUUAAAUUUAAAAUGUUUUGUUUGUUUACUACCUAAAAAUUCUGUCAAAUCAAAGAUAAUCUUACGAUUGAAACAGUAUUGAGUUCAGAAAUUGGCUGUAAAUAGAAUUUGAGUACCAAUCAUACCAUUUAGGUAUAUUGUUUUUGUUUUUUUUUUUUUUUAAGAAAUUGCUCAUUUAGGUAUUCUUCAUCCUCAACCUAAUCGCUCAUUCUAAAGCUAUUUGUGUUGUGUUGUGUUUGUUUCUUUCACUGGUUAAUUUUUUUUUUUUUUUUUUUUUGAUGUGUCUGUUACAUCCUGUGUGCCGCUGUCUUCCUUCAUCAAGGAAUCAGAAUGUUUUGGAUAGCCUCACCUCUAACUUUUGAAUAUAAAUUUUAUUUCUUUGAAGAACUAAUACAAGUUGAAUUCCAUCAGUUCCUCCAAAACAGAAAGACAUGAGGCAGGAUUUCAGAAAAGAAUGAGAAGAAAUGGCAGGACUUCUACAUAAAUUCUGACCUAGCCCCCUCCACUAUGAUUCUGAAGCUAGUACCUGUGUGCAAAGCAGUCCAUAAAGGUAGUUGCUGAGACAUGGGGCAUAUGCCACUCUUAUGAGAAGUACAUAUGUAAAUGAGAACAUUUUUCAAGUUAUAGUUUUUGUUGUCAAGAACACAUGCUUACCAAAGCUUUGAGUUUAUUACAUAUAUAAUGCUGGCUUCUGUAAUGGGUUAAAUUGCAUUCAUCAAAAAGAUGACAUACAAUUCUGAUUCCUGAACUUUAUGAAUGGGACUUACUUGGAUGUAGGAUCUUGCUGGUCACACUGGAAGAGAAGUUUAUCUGUCAGUUUUGUUUUAUUAAUGUAGCAUUUGCUGUAUGGUGCUAACUUACAGUAAUAAACCACAAAUGAUACAUGUUUAAAGCUUUUAUAGUUGUCACUUAGUGCUGAGCCAGGUGCAGGCUCUGUAUGAUUUGAGUGUGUGUAUAGUAAUGGUAAAAAGGUCAAGGAGUAUCAGCCAUCAUGCAGCUCACAUUUCACCUUCCUAGGUUCCCUAGGAAGGGAUCCUGUGGAAAAUUCAACCUAUAGCAAAUCGCCUCAGUCUGCUGUCUGUAGACUGCAGUUUUUAUUCCUACUGUAGGUGAUGCAGUGUGCUUGCCUGUGGUCUUUGUGCCUUCGUGUACUGGUUUGCUGUUGCCAUGAACAGUUGGCAGUGCCUAUGGUGCGUUCUGAGUUAUGCAGUCUGCAUCCUGUGCAGUCAUCUGUGGUUGGCCCUGUUAAUGCCAGUGCUUCUCCUUUCCUGCCUCUCAUGAUUU